rnacentral:rRNA from 1 species
UACGUAGGCGGUUAUUCAAGUCAGAGGUGAAAGCCUGGAGCUCAACUCCAGAACUGCCUUUGAAACUAGAUAGCUAGAAUCUUGGAGAGGUGAGUGGAAUUCCGAGUGUAGAGGUGAAAUUCGUAGAUAUUCGGAAGAACACCAGUGGCGAAGGCGACUCACUGGACAAGUAUUGACGCUGAGGUACGAAAGCGUGGGGAGCAAACA